ACCAUUCAGAACCAUUCUCUCCUUCACGUGACUGGAGUCUGUUCCCCUUCUCUCCUUCACGUGACUGGAGUCUGUUCCCCUUCUCUCCUUCACGUGACUGGAGUCUGUUCCCCUUCUCUCCUUCACGUGACUGGAGUCUGUUCCCCUUCUCUCCUUCACGUGACUGGAGUCUGUUCCCCUUCUCUCCUUCACGUGACUGGAGUCUGUUCCCCCUUCUCUCUUUCACGUGACUGGAGUCUGUUCCCCUUCUCUCCUUCACGUGACUGGAGUCUGUUCCCCUUCUCUCCUUCACGUGACUGGAGUCUGUUCCCCUUCUCUCCUUCACGUGACUGGAGUCUGUUCCCCUUCUCUCCUUCACGUGACUGGAGUCUGUUCCCCUUCUCUCCUUCACGUGACUGGAGUCUGUUCCCCUUCUCUCCUUCACGUGACUGGAGUCUGUUCCCCUUCUCUCCUUCACGUGACUGGAGUCUGUUCCCCUUCUCUCCUUCACGUGACUGGAGUCUGUUCCCCUUCUCUCCUUCACGUGACUGGAGUCUGUUCCCCUUCUCUCCUUCACGUGACUGGAGUCUGUUCCCCUUCUCUCCUUCACGUGACUGGAGUCUGUUCUCUCCUUCACGUGACUGGAGUCUGUUCUCUCCUUCACGUGACUGGAGUCUGUUCUCUCCUUCACGUGACUGGAGUCUGUUCUCUCCUUCACGUGACUGGAGUCUGUUCCCUCCUUCACGUGACUGGAGUCUGUUCCCCUUCUCUCCUCACGUGACUGGAGUCUGUUCCCCUUCUCUCCUUCACGUGACUGGAGUCUGUUCCCCUUCCCUCCUUCACGUGACUGGAGCCUGUUCCCCUUCCCUCCUUCACGUGACUGGAGCCUGUUCCCCUUCCCUCCUUCACGUGACUGGAGUCUGUUCUUCUUCUCUGAAGAGCUCCGUGUUUAUCUCCCCUUCACAAACACCCUUCACGUGGAGAGAGAAGAAACAACCGUUCCUCUCCCUCUGGCCCCAGUCACCUCUGACCUCUGACCUCUAA
rnacentral:lncRNA from 1 species